AGGCCAUCUUCAGUCGCCUCGUGGUCGUCUUCUUCUUCCUCAUGGACUACUUGGGGGGCUUUCCUCUUUGGUUUCCUGAGGAUAAGCUUUUUGCGCUGAUUGGCGGGCUGGGCCUCGGGAGGAGUUGGGCCUUUGGGUGGCGAUCUGCCCUGUGCGGCGGCGAUCUCCACCACCGAGUUUGGCACGGUUUGGGAACCCGAUGCCAACCCGUGGGCUCGAGCGAGCGCCCUCAGUU
rnacentral:lncRNA from 1 species